AACCUCUUGCCAAGGCUCUUGGUUUUCAGGUGCAGUCCCCUAACGUGAUAUAGUACAUAAAGUCCAAGCUAUAAGCAACAAUGAAAAGAAUUGUCUUUUUUUUUUUUUUGCUUCUUUUUCUUAUUUGAGCCUUUCAGGCAGGGCAUGUCUUAAUGUAUCAUAUUAAUGUGUGGCCAUCCUAAACUAGAAAUUCUCUGUCACCUUCCAGAAGGAUGCUCUGCAGCCCCAAAUGGUGGGAACGGUGGUCAUUCCUCUUGAUGCAUUUCUCUCAUCUCUAGUCUGCCCAGUUUUUCAACUGGACAUGACUCCUGGAAGGCAGCAUAAGCCUCAUCCUUUGAGGUCUCUCAUGCAGCAGGAAAUAAGCUGCAGAAGGAAUAUUAAGGACACUUGAUGAGGAGCAGCUCCUGAUACCCCAUACAUAUUUUUCUACUCAUUUGAAAAAUGUUACUCAUUAAGAGGCCUCAGAAUAUUCUGAACACCCAGGACUGUGUUCCAGCUCUUGCUGUGCCAUCCAACAUUCAAGAUUGCAGGGAAGAACUGAGACUGCUCAUGGAGAUUUUCUGCCCUUUCCUCCCUGUGAGUGAACCUCUGACGUGCUAGGAGCAAGCCAGCCCUGUACCUCCGGUGCUUUGCUGAAUCAGGAGUUGGGUGCAUGAUCUCUGUCGCUCACUGGGGG